GUACCCUUCUGUUUGUUUUCAAGUUAUCCAAAGGCUUCCGAAAGACUAUAGGCCAUAAUUCUCGACAUAAGAAACGCAUCACGUCAGUAGUCUCUGUAAUUCUAUUCCUGUUCAAUAAAAGUCUGUUCAAUCAAUUACUUUCUGGUUACUCGCAACGCAUCCUACUUAGGUUAACAAAAAGUUAUCCGUGAGUAAGACAGUAUGAGCUCCCAGCAAAGUAAUUUGUGUUAGUAGAAUUCUAUUUAGCUUAUUUAUUGUCGAAGAGUAUGGAGUUAUCGCAGCAUAGAAAACCUCAAAAAGACGCCUUUUGUUUUUAUCCUAAAAGAAGACUGCGAUAAUAUAUAUAACUCAUAGCCUUAUUCAUAUCACUUACCUUUCUGUUAUUUUUCUUCCAACUUGGAAACCUAUCGAUUCAAGCAUUUGGAAGUCUGAUUCAAUCGAUUUUUCAGAUGAACUUUUCUUUUUGCGAUCUUCAGCCAGCCGUUUUGCCGUGUGCACCAAUUCUAUUAGCAAAAAAUCUAAAGAUGCUACAUUUACAGACAUGGGCAGUUGCUGAUGCACAAUCAUUUCUAAAAACUGAAAUCUGAAUAUUUGCACUAAUAAGGAUAUCUGAGUGUUACACCUCCACAGAGUAUGAAAGUGACGACAAGUUUGGCUCAAAUAUUAAUUCAAACAUAUGAUUUACUUUAAUACUUUAUUUUUAAAUUAAUGCAUUAUUAUUUUAUUAGAUAUUUCUAAUUCGAUGGCUAAACACAAUUAUGCCAAGGAAUUUAUGGAUGCUUGAAUACUUACGAGUAAUCGAGUACUCGUCUUGAUAUUUUUUAAAAAAGAACCACAAAUUUAAAGGAAAAAAUUCGUAUAUUUAAAUUAUACAUGGUGCUCUCCAAAAUAUUUUGAAAUUUAACAUUUACGUGUCAUAUCGA